rnacentral:rRNA from 1 species
UAACAGCUUACUCGUUAAAAGACCUUGCGCCGCAGAUGAUCGGGACUAAGACACAUGCCGAAGGUGAGG